rfam:Erinaceus europaeus unplaced genomic scaffold scaffold00254, whole genome shotgun sequence
GUCUACGGCCAGGGCCACCCUCAACAUGCCCGGUCUCAUCUGAACCCAGAAGCUAAGCAGGGUUGGGCCUGGUUAGUACUUGGAUGGGACAUAGAAGUUUCUCCCCCACCCCAGUGCAGUGGAGG